rnacentral:lncRNA from 1 species
UCGUCCAGAUAAAUUUCCAAGGGAAACCCGAGUCCCCGUUCGAAACACGAACCCUCACCACCUCUCUCGCCGUUUCCUCUCUUCUGUUCUACUGCUUAUUGGCGCUCGUUGGAUACCUGUCUUUGGCUCCCGCUUGUUGUGCCCGAGCGUUCCCCAUUUUGAUGAUGCUCGCCGCGACGCUCUCGGUCGCUUCCUUCACGUCGUUGUUGUUCCGGCGCCCCUUUCACUCUUUCCCGUAUCUCUUGUCAUUAGUGUUGCUUUCCAUGCUCCUCUUGUCUAUUUUCGUCCACGUGUUCCGUCCUAGCCAACCGGCAGACCAGCCGGCAGACCAGCCGCUUUUGCCCGUUGUGGCCCCUCCGUUUCGGAAUCAGCAGUCGGUCCAGGUCGACAGGGCCCCGAAUGUCCCACCGAGUGCCCACCACCAACACACCA